AGAGUUUGAUCCUGGCUCAGAUUGAACGCUGGCGGCAUGCCUAACACAUGCAAGUCGAACGGUAACGACGGGAGCUUGCUCCCGGGCGACGAGUGGCGGACGGGUGAGUAAUACUUAGGAAUCUGCCCAGUAGUGGGGGACAACUCGAGGAAACUCGAGCUAAUACCGCAUACGCCCUACGGGGGAAAGCGGAGGAUCCUUCGGGACUUCGCGCUAUUGGAUGAGCCUAAGUCGGAUUAGCUUGUUGGUGGGGUAAAGGCCUACCAAGGCGACGAUCUGUAGCUGGUCUGAGAGGACGAUCAGCCACACUGGGACUGAGACACGGCCCAGACUCCUACGGGAGGCAGCAGUGGGGAAUAUUGGACAAUGGGGGCAACCCUGAUCCAGCAAUGCCGCGUGUGUGAAGAAGGCCUGCGGGUUGUAAAGCACUUUCAGUAGAGAAGAAAAGCUCAUGGUUAAUACCCGUGGGUCUUGACGUAACCUACAGAAGAAGCACCGGCUAACUCCGUGCCAGCAGCCGCGGUAAUACGGAGGGUGCGAGCGUUAAUCGGAAUUACUGGGCGUAAAGCGCGCGUAGGCGGUUUGGUCAGUCGGAUGUGAAAGCCCUGGGCUCAACCUGGGAAUGGCAUUCGAUACUGCCUGACUAGAGUAUGGUAGAGGGAAGUGGAAUUUCCGGUGUAGCGGUGAAAUGCGUAGAUAUCGGAAGGAACACC
rnacentral:rRNA from 1 species